UUCGAUGUGGAUACGUUUCCGCAUCUAAAAGGGUAUUGCCAUGUUCCACCCUCCAUCCUAAUGCUCCUCCUUUGCCAUUUGCGGGUGCGAGUGUGGCACUCUGAUCCAGGUUCGCACAGGUGGCACUUGGAGUGGUGACACCGCUGGGGACUCCAGUGGUCGUGGACGUGUCCUCCUGCGAGCUUUGCCCUCGUUAGCUCAGCACGUUGCACGUUCAAGUUGCAGUUGCAGUUGCAGCUAGCCGGAUAUCUAUAUAUAGCCAACUGCAGCACAGUAGCAUUGGCCCAGCAUGAAGGCCUGAAACCCGAACACUUUCUGGAGGAGCUCCAGCCGGCGCGCUGUUCCUGGAUCCUCUGAUCCCCCGAUCCCCCGAGCCGUUCCUGCCCCUUGCUUGUGGCACUUAACAUUUUAUUGUUAAUAAAAUAUAUUACAAGGCGCAAUACAAAGGCCAGCCGGGUUGCGAGCCGAGCUCUCUGGCUUGCAGGCUUUCAGGCCCAAAUGCGUUAACGAAAUCAUCCACCACAUCCUCCGGCCCCUUUGCAGAUCCUCUCCAGGUGGAGGCCCCCCGAACCUCCGCCCCUGGGAAUGUCGCUAGCAGAAAGGCAACGGCAAUGGCAAGAAAAAAAAAAGAAAAGACCCACAAAAGUCAGUCGAAAACAAGAUCGUUGAAGGCUGUGGCCGUGGAAUUGGGUAACUAAAAUUAUCGCAAAUCGGAAAUGGAGU